rnacentral:rRNA from 1 species
AUUGAACGCUGGCGGCAGGCCUAACACAUGCAAGUCGAGCGGGGUUUUCGGACCUAGCGGCGGACGGGUGAGUAAUGCGUAGGAAGCUACCCGAUAGAGGGGGAUACCAGUUGGAAACGACUGUUAAUACCGCAUAAUGUCUACGGACCAAAGUGUGGGACCUUCGGGCCGCAUGCUAUCGGAUGCGCCUACGUGGGAUUAGCUAGUUGGUGGGGUAAUGGCUCACCAAGGCGACGAUCCCUAGCUGGUUUGAGAGGAUGAUCAGCCACACCGGAACUGAGACACGGUCCAGACUCCUACGGGAGGCAGCAGUGGGGAAUAUUGGACAAUGGGCGCAAGCCUGAUCCAGCCAUGCCGCGUGUGUGAAGAAGGCCUUCGGGUUGUAAAGCACUUUCAGUAGGGAGGAAGGGUGUUGUGUUAAUAGCACAGCAUUUUGACGUUACCUACAGAAGAAGCACCGGCUAACUCUGUGCAGCAGCCGCCGUAAAAC